AGCAGCCGCGGUAAUUCCAGCUCCAAUAGCGUAUAUUAAAGUUGUUGCAGUUAAAAAGCUCGUAGUUGAAUUUCGGGAUCAGUACGCCGGUCGUGCCUUCGGUAUGCACUGGUGUCACUGAUUCCUCCCUUCUGAAGACCGUUAUGCCAUUUAUUUGGUGUGGCGGGGAAUCAGGACUGUUACUUUGAAAAAUUGAGUGUUUAAAGCAAGGCUCGCGCUUGAAUACAUUAGCAUGGAAUAAUGAAAUAGGACGUUUGAUCUAUUUUGUGGUUUCUAGGAUCGACGUAAUGAUUAAUAGGGAUAGUUGGGGGCA
rnacentral:rRNA from 1 species